UCCGCGAUCGUAUGGUGGUUAGUACCUUGCGUUGUGGCCGCAAUAACCCAGGUUUGACCCCUAGUCACGGCA
rnacentral:tRNA from 1 species